UACGAAGGGGGCUAGCGUUGCUCGGAAUCACUGGGCGUAAAGCGCACGUAGGCGGCUUGUUAAGUCAGGGGUGAAAUCCUGGAGCUCAACUCCAGAACUGCCUUUGAUACUGAUGAGCUUGAGUUCGGGAGAGGUGGAGUGGAACUGGCGAGUGUAGAGGUGGAAAUUCGUAGAUAUUCGCAAGAACACCAGUGGCGAAGGCGGCUCACUGGCCCGAUACUGACGCUGAGGUGCGAAAGCGUGGGGAGCAACAGG
rnacentral:rRNA from 1 species